AGAGUUUGAUCAUGGCUCAGAACGAACGCUGGCGGCAUGCCUAACACAUGCAAGUCGAACGUGAUCCGCAGCUUCGGUUGCGGUGAAAGUGGCAAACGGGUGAGUAACGCGUGGGAACCUGCCCAGAGGUAGGGAAUAACUGCGGGAAACUGCGGCUAAUACCCUAUGUGUCCUGAGGGACAAAGAUUUAUCGCCUUUGGAGGGGCCCGCGUCGGAUUAGGUAGUUGGUGGGGUAACGGCCUACCAAGCCAUCGAUCCGUAGCUGGUCUGAGAGGAUGAUCAGCCACACUGGGACUGAGAUACGGCCCAGACUCCUACGGGAGGCAGCAGUGGGGAAUAUUGGACAAUGGGGGCAACCCUGAUCCAGCAAUGCCGCGUGAGUGAUGAAGGCCUUCGGGUUGUAAAGCUCUUUCGGCGGGGAAGAUGAUGACGGUACCCGCAGAAGAAGCCCCGGCUAACUUCGUGCCAGCAGCCGCGGUAAUACGAAGGGGGCUAGCGUUGUUCGGAAUUACUGGGCGUAAAGGGCGCGUAGGCUGUGCUGUAAGUCAGGCGUGAAAUCCCCGGGCUCAACCUGGGAAUUGCGUUUGAUACUGCGGCGCUGGAAUGCAGGAGAGGAUGGCGGAAUUCCCAGUGUAGAGGUGAAAUUCGUAGAUAUUGGGAAGAACACCGGGCGAAGGCGGCCAUCUGGCCUGUAAUUGACGCUGAGGCGCGAAAGCGUGGGGAGCAAACAGGAUUAGAUACCCUAGUAGUCC
rnacentral:rRNA from 1 species